GUAUUCAAUAUACAUCUUAAGAUAAUCUUAUCCUUAAAUAUGACCUUAAAGAUAAGAAAAUCUUAAAAUCAGCGUUUUUUCUAAGAAAAAUCUUAAGUGAUAUUUAAUAAACAUCUUAUCUUAAGUUUUUCCUUAAAUAUACGAUUUUCCUUCCUUAACUUUAAGGAAGCAACAUAGCAACCUUAACUUUGCUCUUAGAAAUAAGAAAUUUUGUUUGCAUCAUCAAAAACGCCAUUUUUUCGGGCAGGUAAAUAUUUUUACGCUGUACAUGCGUGUUAAUUGCAAUAUUUUUCGUUCAAAAAUGAUUUUGUAUGCUUAUUUGCUAAUUUGAAGGGCGAUAAUCGAUGUAUGUUUCCGUAAAAUUCGUGCGUCACAGGUCGAAUGUUUACAUCAUUUAAGCUCAAUUUACCAAAAAUAUUGACACUAUUGGAGGCGAACAUUUAGAAGGCAAAUAAUUUACAGACUCAAGAUAUACCAUAGCAUUGUCUAAAUGCUCAUAUGUUUUGUUGUGCCUGCGUAUGAUAAUUGUAACCGGAAUUCGCGAGUUUACAAGUAGACUAAACAAGCUGUGUAUUAUGGCUCCAUCCACAAGCUGACCAACAUUAGUGUGUAGUUAUAAAUAACGGAGUGUUAAACUUGUAAAAUAAAAACGAUGAUGAGACUGCAUAAAAGGACAUCUUCAAACGGAUUCUUCAUAUAGAAGCUGAUAUAAAAAAUGGGCAAUUUGUGGAUUACUUUUAUUGUAUACAGCAUGAACAACACCGCUGAUAUUUCUAGGAUUUACAGGUUCGCAGUCACUGGAUGUUGUACUUUUGUGAAUUCUUGCAUCUAAAAGUUCCACUAUUGGAUGGACACUCUUCACGUCAAGCAAACAGUGAAAAGCUUGCUGUGCACAAAAGACAUGGUUUAGGGAAACAUUCAAUGAAUGGCCAGUUUAGUUAAAAGGAAUUUUAAAGAAAAUCAAUACAAGAUUUCUAUGUACUUAUGAACUGAACAUUUCAUUAUUGCAUUUCAGUAUUGUUCAAAAAGGCCCCUGACAUACAUCUGAGUUUGAACCGAGUUGAAAGAGUUUCUGUUAUUAAAUAAUCCACUAUUUAAAGCAUCACAUGAAACUAUAAAAUUGAACAUUUUUAUAUUUAUAAUAUGUUAAUGAUUCCAUAUAAAAUGUGUAGUAUACAUGUAUGUGCUGAGAACAAGAUAAUAGAAACAAUCAGUAAAUAAAUUAAUAAAUAAAAAAUUGCAUAGUAA